AGUGAACGCUGGCGGUAGGCCUAACACAUGCAAGUCGAACGGCAGCACAGUAAGAGCUUGCUCUUACGGGUGGCGAGUGGCGGACGGGUGAGGAAUACAUCGGAAUCUACUUUUUCGUGGGGGAUAACGUAGGGAAACUUACGCUAAUACCGCAUACGACCUACGGGUGAAAGCAGGGGAUCUUCGGACCUUGCGCGAUUGAAUGAGCCGAUGUCGGAUUAGCUAGUUGGCGGGGUAAAGGCCCACCAAGGCGACGAUCCGUAGCUGGUCUGAGAGGAUGAUCAGCCACGCUGGAACUGAGACACGGUCCAGACUCCUACGGGAGGCAGCAGUGGGGAAUAUUGGACAAUGGGCGCAAGCCUGAUCCAGCCAUACCGCGUGGGUGAAGAAGGCCUUCGGGUUGUAAAGCCCUUUUGUUGGGAAAGAAAAGCAGCAGGUUAAUACCCCGCUGUUCUGACGGUACCCAAAGAAUAGGCACCGGCUAACUUCGU
rnacentral:rRNA from 1 species